rnacentral:rRNA from 1 species
GGGUUGUGAGGUUAAGCGACUAAGCGUACACGGUGGAUGCCCUGGCAGUCAGAGGCGAUGAAGGACGUGCUAAUCUGCGAUAAGCGUCGGUGAGGUGAUAUGAACCGUUAUAACCGGCGAUUUCCGAAUGGGGAAACCCAGUGUGUUUCGACACACUAUCAUUAACUGAAUCCAUAGGUUAAUGAGGCGAACCGGGGGAACUGAAACAUCUAAGUACCCCGAGGAAAAGAAAUCAACCGAGAUUCCCCCAGUAGCGGCGAGCGAACGGGGAGGAGCCCAGAGCCUGAAUCAGUGUGUGUGUUAGUGGAAGCGUCUGGAAAGGCGCGCGAUACAGGGUGACAGCCCCGUACACAAAAAUGCACAUACUGUGAGCUCGAUGAGUAGGGCGGGACACGUGGUAUCCUGUCUGAAUAUGGGGGGACCAUCCUCCAAGGCUAAAUACUCCUGACUGACCGAUAGUGAACCAGUACCGUGAGGGAAAGGCGAAAAGAACCCCGGCGAGGGGAGUGAAAAAGAACCUGAAACCGUGUACGUACAAGCAGUGGGAGCCUCUUAAUGGGGUGACUGCGUACCUUUUGUAUAAUGGGUCAGCGACUUAUAUUCUGUAGCAAGGUUAACCGAAUAGGGGAGCCGAAGGGAAACCGAGUCUUAACUGGGCGUUAAGUUGCAGGGUAUAGACCCGAAACCCGGUGAUCUAGCCAUGGGCAGGUUGAAGGUUGGGUAACACUAACUGGAGGACCGAACCGACUAAUGUUGAAAAAUUAGCGGAUGACUUGUGGCUGGGGGUGAAAGGCCAAUCAAACCGGGAGAUAGCUGGUUCUCCCCGAAAGCUAUUUAGGUAGCGCCUCGUGAAUUCAUCUCCGGGGGUAGAGCACUGUUUCGGCAAGGGGGUCAUCCCGACUUACCAACCCGAUGCAAACUGCGAAUACCGGAGAAUGUUAUCACGGGAGACACACGGCGGGUGCUAACGUCCGUCGUGAAGAGGGAAACAACCCAGACCGCCAGCUAAGGUCCCAAAGUCAUGGUUAAGUGGGAAACGAUGUGGGAAGGCCCAGACAGCCAGGAUGUUGGCUUAGAAGCAGCCAUCAUUUAAAGAAAGCGUAAUAGCUCACUGGUCGAGUCGGCCUGCGCGGAAGAUGUAACGGGGCUAAACCAUGCACCGAAGCUGCGGCAGCGACGCUUAUGCGUUGUUGGGUAGGGGAGCGUUCUGUAAGCCUGUGAAGGUGGCCUGUGAGGGUUGCUGGAGGUAUCAGAAGUGCGAAUGCUGACAUAAGUAACGAUAAAGCGGGUGAAAAGCCCGCUCGCCGGAAGACCAAGGGUUCCUGUCCAACGUUAAUCGGGGCAGGGUGAGUCGACCCCUAAGGCGAGGCCGAAAGGCGUAGUCGAUGGGAAACAGGUUAAUAUUCCUGUACUUGGUGUUACUGCGAAGGGGGGACGGAGAAGGCUAUGUUGGCCGGGCGACGGUUGUCCCGGUUUAAGCGUGUAGGCUGGUUUUCCAGGCAAAUCCGGAAAAUCAAGGCUGAGGCGUGAUGACGAGGCACUACGGUGCUGAAGCGACAAAUGCCCUGCUUCCAGGAAAAGCCUCUAAGCAUCAGGUAACAUUAAAUCGUACCCCAAACCGACACAGGUGGUCAGGUAGAGAAUACCAAGGCGCUUGAGAGAACUCGGGUGAAGGAACUAGGCAAAAUGGUGCCGUAACUUCGGGAGAAGGCACGCUGAUAUGUAGGUGAAGCGACUUGCUCGUGGAGCUGAAAUCAGUCGAAGAUACCAGCUGGCUGCAACUGUUUAUUAAAAACACAGCACUGUGCAAACACGAAAGUGGACGUAUACGGUGUGACGCCUGCCCGGUGCCGGAAGGUUAAUUGAUGGGGUUAGCGGUAACGCGAAGCUCUUGAUCGAAGCCCCGGUAAACGGCGGCCGUAACUAUAACGGUCCUAAGGUAGCGAAAUUCCUUGUCGGGUAAGUUCCGACCUGCACGAAUGGCGUAAUGAUGGCCAGGCUGUCUCCACCCGAGACUCAGUGAAAUUGAACUCGCUGUGAAGAUGCAGUGUACCCGCGGCAAGACGGAAAGACCCCGUGAACCUUUACUAUAGCUUGACACUGAACAUUGAGCCUUGAUGUGUAGGAUAGGUGGGAGGCUUUGAAGUGUGGACGCCAGUCUGCAUGGAGCCGACCUUGAAAUACCACCCUUUAAUGUUUGAUGUUCUAACGUGGGCCCCUUACCGGGGUUGCGGACAGUGUCUGGUGGGUAGUUUGACUGGGGCGGUCUCCUCCUAAAGAGUAACGGAGGAGCACGAAGGUUGGCUAAUCCUGGUCGGACAUCAGGAGGUUAGUGCAAUGGCAUAAGCCAGCUUGACUGCGAGCGUGACGGCGCGAGCAGGUGCGAAAGCAGGUCAUAGUGAUCCGGUGGUUCUGAAUGGAAGGGCCAUCGCUCAACGGAUAAAAGGUACUCCGGGGAUAACAGGCUGAUACCGCCCAAGAGUUCAUAUCGACGGCGGUGUUUGGCACCUCGAUGUCGGCUCAUCACAUCCUGGGGCUGAAGUAGGUCCCAAGGGUAUGGCUGUUCGCCAUUUAAAGUGGUACGCGAGCUGGGUUUAGAACGUCGUGAGACAGUUCGGUCCCUAUCUGCCGUGGGCGCUGGAGAACUGAGGGGGGCUGCUCCUAGUACGAGAGGACCGGAGUGGACGCAUCACUGGUGUUCGGGUUGUCAUGCCAAUGGCACUGCCCGGUAGCUAAAUGCGGAAGAGAUAAGUGCUGAAAGCAUCUAAGCACGAAACUUGCCCCGAGAUGAGUUCUCCCUGACUCCUUGAGAGUCCUGAAGGAACGUUGAAGACGACGACGUUGAUAGGCCGGGUGUGUAAGCGCAGCGAUGCGUUGAGCUAACCGGUACUAAUGAACCGUGAGGCUUAACCUUACAACGCCGAAGGUGUUU